rnacentral:rRNA from 1 species
GGACUACAAGGGUUUCUAAUCCUGUUCGCUCCCCACGCUUUCGCUCCUCAGCGUCAGUGUCGGCCCAGAGACCCGCCUUCGCCACCGGUGUUCCUCCUGAUAUCUGCGCAUUUCACCGCUACACCAGGAAUUCCAGUCUCCCCUACCGAACUCUAGCCUGCCCGUAUCGACUGCAGUCCCGCAGUUAAGCCGCGGGUUUUCACAGUCGACGCGACAAGCCGCCUACGAGCUCUUUACGCCCAAUAAAUCCGGACAACGCUCGCGCCCUACGUCUUACCGCGGCUGCUGGCAC